rnacentral:lncRNA from 1 species
CACGCAUUUUGUGGUUUGGUAUCAUUCCGGGUCAAACUAUUUGGUGUAUAAAUAAGAGUAUUUUGUAAGGCAUAUACAUAUUUACGGCAACUUAUAUUUAACUACUACCAAAACACUAGGAAAACUAAACAAUGGUGGCUAUCUCUGACGAGUUUGUGAAGAUGAUGGUUUCUGUGUUUGUGAUGUUGAUUGUUAUUUGUUCUACUGGUUAUUACGAACGAGAGGACGGGGGCGAAGGAUAUGAACGAUACGACAAAUGUAAGUCUAUACUAGGCACAUUUAGCUUAAUAACAAAUGUAUCUAACAUAUUUUCUUUAUAUUAACUGUAAUCCCAAUUGUGCAAAAUUCGUGAACUGUGACCUGUUAUUAUUCAUACCUGUUUGCGAUGCUGGUAUUGGUACGGUUGUCAAUCACAAAUGAUCUCUUUUUUCCCUCUUUAUUUUCUUUGAUAUAUAAUUUGUAAUUCGAAUUAGAACAUGCCAUUUUGAGGCAGUGGCAGGUUCUAUGUAGUAUAAGGUUGACACGAAACAUGUGUGUUAGCGAUAAUAAAAAAUGAUAGUUCAAGUUCUUUAUGUUGAUUUCAAGUUAAUCAAGUUCCGUUACAGAAUAUAUAGUGCUAUUAUUAUUUUUGGAAAUGGAAAUCUUGAAAAUUAUAUAAAUAAGAAAAAAAAGAAUUGCAAUAUAAUGGAUAUUGUAUUCGUGUACAGCAGAUUUUCAUCUGUGUUUUUAUUGCACCUUUCGUACCGAUAGCUUUUUAUAGGAUGUCCCGUAGAGUUCUUAGCUAAAUCCUGUGGCGAACCUGAUAAAUGUAACAGCAUAAAUUGGAGCCUUGUGCAAUACGGUUUGUAUUUAGAACACUCGAUAUACCGAAUUUGAAAAUUACAUUACAUGCUCUAUUUGUAUUUUUUAAAUGAAUAAGUUGGUGACCUUUAUCAUAUACAUACGAUGAAAUGGUAAGACAAAGACAUUUGACAUUUUAUUAAUUUUAUUUUUCAGAAGCUUUACCUAAAACCAAAUUACAACGAAUGGUGUUUUCUGUAAAAGGAUGAUCAAAAGAAAUCUGUUUAUCAUUAACAAUUCCAUCGGUGAUAUAUUUAUAUGUAAAAUAAAAAAUGUAG